AUCACACAGCAGUACGAAUAUAGUAAAAACCCCUGAAGUGUACACUUCGCCCGGGUGAUUUUUAUGGCAGCCACCGGCUUCAAGACAAGAAAGAGAUUACCUGGUAUCUUCCAGCGACACCUGACCAGAUUUUUCAUCCACAAUAAUUUUACAGUGAUCUCCAGAGACCAGUUUAUUGCCAGGGAAUGAAAGAUCACAACCUAAAACAGAGAGGGAUACAUUGGAUGUGACCGUGGGGACUGUGCACAAAAGUGCCCUUUGCUUAAUCAAAGCACGUGGUUGAAAACGAGGACCCAUGGUAUAUGCACGGUGGGAGACAGCCUAAUCAAGUAAGAUAGGAAGCAAUUUUUUAAAAAGCAUUUAUGUAUUAAUCCAAAGUAAAGAGACAGGGACUGUCUUGAACCUUUCUGACUCCCCAUUACCUAGAGGAUACCCUCAUCAACACCUCUGGCUUCUUGGUGACAAUUUUACAACAUGCACAUAUGUGCAGCUACCCUGAUAAAAGCAGAAGUUUAAAAAAACUAAGGGGCUUAGUUAAGUAAUUCUUCAUCUUAAGUCAGUCCUUAAUUUCUUUUCCGUGUAAUCUAAGGUUUCAUAAAUCAUCACAAAACUGAAGCGAGGACCAAGACUCACAGAAAACAUGACUGAGCAAAUUACAGACACAUGAACACGCUUGAGAAAAUUUAAAACAGAAGGUGGAUGCAUCUACACUCAAUGAUCUGAAUACAGUCAUUAUAUCCUCAUUAAAUGCAAGGGGGAAAUCCUUAAAUACUGUGUUCUCUCCAGAGAAUAAAAGUUUUCAGGAGUUUUUACUAUCUAA